GUCCAUUGGAUCGAUACUUCUCCAACAAGCUGCAAUUUCAGCUUCCUUCCACUACAACAAUGUAGAAAUUGUGGAAUCAAGAGCAUCUGCAACGGUAAAUUCGGUUACUCAUUCGUAAAAAUGGCAAACUCUCACUUUUUAAUAUGUAUGAAACCAUAUAAUUGUAUGUCCUAUGUAACUUGUAACACAUAUUUAAUGUCCCCUAUAGCUGUUUGCCCUUGAAUAUGUAACAUCAGAAGCCCAGUUAUCCUACACAUGAAGAUCAUAUGCUACAGUUGUAUUUGAGGUACAGGAUUUUCCAUCAUCAGAUGCAACCCAAAUUGCCAACAACCUGUCUAACCUUGGCCAAAUCUACAACAGAGAAGAUAUUUCAACCGAUGUUCUAGUAAGCACAAGUACAAAUUGUUGUUUUUUGGUUCAAGUUUUAUGCCUUGGAUUGGAACUAAUUACUAUAUUUUUAUCGUAUGUGCAAAAGGCAAGGGGCCAAGUUCUGGGAGAUGGAGUUCGAGUGCUUAGCACAACAGUUCAUUUUUCUCGUCUCGGAGAGGUUUACUCUCUGAAACAUGACAUCACAGAUGUGCAAUGUCUCAUGCCAGGCCUUCUCUUAGCAAUCAGAAAUAUUGUGCGCAUAAAGGUAACCAAUUAAUACAUUUGUAUCGCAUCGCAUCUUUUAUAAUUUUCAAUCAUAUCCUGCCUUCAACCGAUAAUACAUCUUCUGUCUUUGUUUCUUUAUUGCAGAACCUGGUGUAUAACUUGCAGAAAUUUUUAUGAACAUUCCGUCUCACUGAUCUUAAACCCAACCACAUAAUUUCGACUUCCAUGUAACUUAGAAAAGAAUGAAGAUUUUGUUAACUAACUUUAUUGUGUUAUGCUCCAUUGCUCUUAGAAAUUGGGUCUAUCUCAAAAUCUGUCUGAUCCGGUCAUACUCUUGCUAAGUCACUAUUUUAAGAGAAGAUUCUUUGACCAUGGACUAGAAAAACACUAUUGGAUGAAAGGCCCGUUGACUCGCACUCCAUUAGAAGACCUUUUGGCUAUUUGACCAAGACUAGAUAUUUGUUGAUAUUUAGAUAUUUAUUUAGUAGGUAGAUAGAGGCCACAUCACCACUCCAUAUAUAUGGACCACAUACUUGACCUUCCUUGAGAAGGCUUGGCUGCCUACAAAAGGAAGGCAUGAGCACCAUUGUAGGAUCUUCCAUGGCAGCCCUACCGACAUUAUCACAGAGACAACAAAGCCUUAUUACCCCAACCAAAAUUGCAAUCUACAAACCUUCCACCCUGUUUUUGGCAAACAUGGACUUCGUGCUUUUGGAGACUGGACCCGUGCAUUUCUUGUUGUUGCAUAGCUUGUAUGAUUUCUUUUGCCUGUUAUUGUAGUGCUGCUCCAAAGCUGCCCAAUGCCUAAAGUACAUGCCAGUGCAUAUGUUGCAGUUGAUCUUCUUACCCGAACCAAUGUGUUUGUCAUCUUUGUGAGCCACCAAAAACAGUUGAGUUGGAUGAAGUGAGCCAUACAAUUCACAAGCAAAUUCCUCAGCAGCCUUUUCCAUUUUCUUUUCGCAAGUUGCAGCCCUUUCCAUUUUCUUUUGGCAAGUUCUUAGAUGAAAGAAGAUUAAUUUGAGGAAAGCCUUAUCAAAGACGGUAGAAAUAGUAAAUACCCCAACCAACAUUUACAUGGUUCAUUGGUUGAAGAGGUAUACGACAACCAUCAGGUUUUGUGGAUUGUCAAAAGGGUCAUCUCUGACACUUUGGAGACCUAUGCGAAUUUCAUAAAAAGACCCUCCUAAUUAUUUAAAAAUAUAAUUUCUUAGACAAUAUAGUCAUACAAAGUUCAACUAUCAAUAUUGAAACUUAAUUGAAAUCAGCAUCUCACUCUUACUAAUUGAAUAAUCUCCAAUUACCAUGAAAUCAUGAUUUAGGUUCAUCUAUAAAAAAAUGGAGCACAACUGAAAGAGAGAUAUGAAAAUACGUUUGUGGUGGAAUAAAGUAAUAAUCACAAAUUAGUUUUUUGUUGCUUAAGAAAAGUAGAAGAAAGUAAUACACAAGUUUUUUAUUGUUAUAGAAAAGUAGAAAAUUAAUAUAUUAAGUAUAAGCUCCACUUAAUCAAUUGUAAAAUCAUAUGAUGAUAUUUUUUCUUUUAAGUUAAAUUUUUUUAUUAUAAAUUAAUACUCAUAUGUAAUAUAUAGGAGAAUAAAAAGUUUUGGGGCCUCUAAAAAAUUCAGGACCAUGUGCCACUGCACCCUUUGCACACCCCCAACGCUUCCUCUGAUUCUCAAUAUCCUUCACAUGUCUGUAAGUUACGCCAUUCUCUUUAUGGCCUUAAGCAUGCUCCAAGAACUUGGAUUUAGUCGACACCGCAGUUUGCAUGAGGGUGACCCUCUCUCGGAUGCUGUGAAUUUCAAAGUGUUGUGGGUGCUCUCAAGUAUCUACUCCUUACCAGACCUAAAAUUGCAUUCGUGGUGAAUCAAGUAUGUCAGUACAUGCAUUUUGAAUUUCAAAGUGUUGUUGGUGCUCUCCAAUAUCUACUCUUUACCAAACUUAACAUUGCAUUCGCAGUGAACCAAGUAUGUCAGUAUAUGCAUUCGCAGUGAACCAAGUAUGUCAGUACAUACAUUCGCAAUGAAUCAAGUAUGUCAGCAGUGUUCUAAAAAUCGGCCUAGGCGCUGGGCGUGGUGAUGCCGGUGCGAUUAGGUCCGAAUCGUUAAGAAAAAUAUGGGAGCUGUUAGGCCCCCGCCUAGGCGCUCUUAGGCGGGCUAGGUGGGCUAGGCGGUCUAGGCGGGUUACACGGUCUAGGCGGUUGUCUAGGCGGCGGUCUGGGCGAAGUGAAAUGAUUUUCUGGGAAGAAAUUCCAAACAGACUUAGAAUCACUAAAAUUUUCUCCCGCUUCGACUCCCUCUCUCUGUGCACCACGACUUUCUUAGCUGUCGCGAUUCCCUCUCUUUGAAAUUCGUCUAAGAAGAAGCUCUUACAGCUCAAAACAGAAGAAGAGAAAAAAAAUGGAGAAUUUACAAAGGGAAAACAGAAAGAAAAACAAGAAGAAGAGUAAACAGAAAGAAGGCGAAGAUGAUGAGGAAAAUGAAAUAAUAAAAAAGACUAAAGUUUCGGUUUUCUAGGCAUCAAAAUGGUCUCGGGAGUCUCUAUCUCUCUCUGCUGAUAUGAGGGAUAGGGACUAGGGAAUAAGGAUGGAGGGGAAGGGUCACACCACAGUGACCACACAUGUGGUGCUUUAUGAAAUGGGGAAGGAUGCAUGCACCUUCUCUUCAUUAUGAACCAGCUAACCACUUUUAUAUUUUAAAAAUGAGAUAUAAUCAUUCAAAAUGUCUUAAGUUAUAUGGCAUAUAUGCUUAUUGUGUUUUUAAAUUUUAGAUUUGUUAAAUAAUUUUUUUUUUGUAUUUUAUCAUUCUUUUAUUAUUUUAUUCAUGAAUUUCAUCCAAAUAUAAUUUUUUUGUAAGUGUCAAUAUUGCACUUAUUUACAAGAUAUACAAAAAAUUUACCUAAAUCCGCUUAGACCCUGCCUAAGCGCUAGGCGCCAGCCCGUUGUCCGACUAGCGCCUAGCAUUUUUUAGAACCUUGUAUGUCAGUACAUGCAUUCUCCUACCACUUCACAUGCAUUGUGCUGCUGUAAAAUGGAUAUUCAGAUAUUUAAAAGGUGAUGUUGAUCAAGGUAUUGUUUACACAUCGAGUCCUCCCACUCAUACUGCAUACGCUGAUGCGGACUUGAAGAAAAUUGAGGUUUUGUUUCUCCUUUCACCUAUGUUAGGGCUCUUUAACCUUCACAUCCUCACACGUCCCUUCACAUGUGGCGAAUUUUCAAGCCAAACACGUGGACAAUACAAUUUGGGUUACAUGGAGCAUGUGUAGCCAUUAGGCUUCACACAUGAGCCAACAUGCUUUGAUACCAUGUAAAAAGUUGAGGUUCCAUUCCACCAUAAAACUAAUUGGCUAUAUGGGGAGUAGCCAACCUCUUAUAAGCCCUUGCAAGGUUUAUCCUUUCACUAAUGUGAGACUCUUUAACCUUCCCAUCAUUAUAGGACUAUAUGCUGGCUAUCCUAAUGAUUACCGAAUAUCGCCAACUUGCCUACUCUUCUUGACACACCCCGACUGAAGUCAAGGCAUGCUGGCCGUCACGUGAGCGUGACGUAGCCAUGUGCACAGUGCGGAAGAGAUAUUUAUAAGGAAAGUACGAAUAAUUCAAAACCAAAUACCAUAGGUUCUAAGAUAAGUUUAAGUGUAAAUACACAACCAAAGCACAAGGUCUAAGUGCAAUCAAACAUAAGAUGUACUAAUUUAACAACACUCGAAGAUAAUCCUACAUGAGUGAUGGUUUGUCAGAACUUCAGCGGGAAACCUCGAGAUCUACCAACAACGCUACCUAAAACCUGGAAGGGCGCAAAACAAAGUUGAGUGGGUCAGUAAAACAAACUUUUCAAAACUUUCUUUUCUCUUUGAAUAUACUAACCCCUCGCCGUAAAACAAGUAUAAUUUCCUAGAAAUAAAGUAUAUACUCAUAUACGUAAUAUAUCUCAAAAUCAUGCUAGACAAUAUGAAUGUACGCCAUGUCAAAGUAUCAUAAUUGAAUACUCAUCAUCUCUAUGUGAAUAUGAUGGAAUAACAUAUAAUCAAUUCAACCAUCGGCCAUAAAUAUAGUUUAUGCUCUUUCAUCAUAAUCAACUCAGCCCUCGGCUGCAUAUAUAGCUCAUAAUCAUCUCAUCACAUCAUGUAUAUAUAUGUAAAUCCUGCACACAAUCAAUACCACCUCGCGUGGUCUGCAAUUCAUCACUGUAUAUAACAUAAUAUGCUCUAGUGCUACAAUCACGUGAAGACUGUGCCAUAAAUCACGGGUUACCUACGAGUCGAACCCAUUAAAAGUGGUCUAUACGACAUGACUGUGCACCUAACUUGGAUCCAAGGCGAGCAUGCGGUGCGGGAGGUGAACAUCACGUGAAAGAAUGUGCCCCUAACUCUGGGCGGGAGCACUAAUAUGCGUGUGCAAGUAAAUGAGCUCUCAAUCAUAACCAACAUCGUAUCUCAUCAUAUCUCAAUCUCAAUCAUAACCAACAUCGUAUCUCAAUCGUAUCUCAAUCAUAACCAACAUCAUAUCUCAAUCGUAUCUCAAUCAUAACCAACAUCGUAUCUCAUCAUCGUUACCAGCAUAAUAUACUCACAUGUAGCUUACCUGGGCCUCCUCAGCACCAUGCAACAAUAUUCAUAAUUAUAAUAAUGCACAUAUUAAAAUAUGAUGCAUGUAUGACAUGAUACUUAAAUCACAUUUCCUUAAAAUACGUUUUUUGGGAAAAACGUCAAGCAUACAUAUAUAUAUACUGAAAAAUAACUGCCCACUCACUGAUAUGUCGCCGGCGACGGAAAAGUCGCCGGUUUCUGGGCUAGUUUUCAAAUCGUCAUAACUUCGUCAUAUUAAAAUAUGAUGCAUGUAGAUUCACGAUAUACAAGUUUCUAGGCUUAAAACCACUAGAAUUUACCUGAGUAAGCUCAAUAGUUCGGUAAACUUUGACAAGCUUCAAUCUCCGUACUCCGACGUCCAAAACCUUCCAACAAACUACCCCGAGCCUCCUAAGGACCUCAAGAAGCUUCUUAUGAGCUUAAAAACUCCUAAAAAUCAACCAUUACAAAGUUGAUGAAUAGUGUCAAACUCGAAGGUGAGUGGUUCGACGUGAAAACUUUGAAGUUCUUACCUGAAAUGGGUAUGGAUGAACUCGUAUCGACGAGAUGAAGAUGAUGGUGGUCUUUGUUUCCUCGAUCUGUAAGGAUUUGAUGAACUUUGGUGAUGGUCCGCGUGUAGAGAGAGAGAAAGAGUGAAUUCGAAGGGAAGAGAGAGAGAGAGAGAGUGAGUUUGAGUGUUUGAGGGAAUUACGGGAA
rnacentral:lncRNA from 1 species